UAGACUUUGAUCCCAGCUCAGAAUCAAGCGCUGGCGGCGUGCCUAACACAUGCAAGUCGAACGCGAAAGUGGAGCAAUCCAUGAGUAGAGUGGCAAACGGGUGAGUAACGCGUGGGUGACCUGCCUUCGAGUGGGGGAUAACCUGUCGAAAGAUAGGCUAAUACCGCAUACGACCUACGGGUGAAAGCGGAGGACCGCAAGGCUUCGCACUAUUGGAGUGGCCGAUGCCCCAUUAGCUAGUUGGUGAGGUAAAAGCUCACCAAGGCGACGAUCCGUAGCUGGUCUGAGAGGACGACCAGCCACACUGGAACUGAGACACGGUCCAGACUCCUACGGGAGGCAGCAGUGGG
rnacentral:rRNA from 1 species